rnacentral:rRNA from 1 species
AGUCAACAUGCCCAGGGGACGUGGAUAACCUCGGGAAACUGAGGAUAAACCGCGAUAGGUCAUAAUGUCUGGAAUGAUUUAUGGCUGAAAUCUACAUGGCCUCUGGAUUGGACUGCGGCCGAUCAGGCUGUUGGUGAGGUAAUGGCCCACCAAACCUAAAACCGGUACGGGCUCUGAGAGGAGGAGCCCGGAGAUGGGCACUGAGACAAGGGCCCAGGCCCUAUGGGGCGCAGCAGGCGCGAAACCUCUGCAAUAGGCGAAAGCUUGACAGGGUUAUUCUGAGUGAUUUCCGCUAAGGAGAUCUUUUGGCACCUCUAAAAAUGGUGCAGAAUAAGGGGUGGGCAAGCCUGGUGUCAGCCGCCGCGGUAAUACCAGCACCCCGAGUGGUCGGGACGAUUAUUGGGCCUAAAGCAUCCGUAGCCGGUUCUACAAGUCUUCCGUUAAAUCCACCUGCUCAACAGUUGGGCUGCGGAGGAUACUAUAGAGCUAGGAGGCGGGAGAGGCAAGCGGUACUUAGUGGGUAGGGGUAAAAUCCGUUGAUCCACUGAAGACCACCAGUGGCGAAGGCGGCUUGCCAGAACGCGCUCGACGGUGAGGGGUGAAAGCUGGGGGAGCAAACCGGAUUAGAUACCCGGGUAGUCCCAGCUGUAAACGAUGCAGACUCGGUGAUGAAUAAGCUUCGUGCUUAUUCAGUGCCGCAGGGAAGCCGUUAAGUCUGCCGCCUGGGGAGUACGGUCGCAAGACUGAAACUUAA